GCACACGAAAGCACGGGACAGCGGUCAUUCUCAGGCUGGCGGCAGCCCAAGACAUCAUCUGCUUCGACAAGGGGCUGCGCGGUGCAAAGAUGAGCAGCUAAAAUCAGCCCGUCUAGUCCGGCCCCGGAACAACCCGGUCUGGACGUUCAGACCGCUGCUACAGCUCUCCAGAAACUCAGAGGUUCGGCUCUUCCUGACGCUGCACUGCCUUGAGUGACCGCGAAGGAGCCGGGCGCGGGGACCCUAAAUGGUGCAGUACACUUCCUUUGCCCGGUCCGCCGCAAAAAGACGUUCCCGGAUUCUGCAAAGUUGGUUCCGCUGCCUCGCGGUACUCGUUCCAACCCCGCCCCUGCCAGGAGUGACGCAACCCUUCUUUGCUCCCGGUUGCUUGGAAACGACAGAUCACCUUCCCGGAGAGAUUCAGAUAAAGAAACCGCCGCCAAGGUUGACAUCAAGAUAGCCUGGAACUGAUGGUUGUGAGCUGUCACAUGGAGAAUCGAAAUUGAACCUGGGUCCUCUGGAAGGGCAACCAAUAUCCUUAACUGCUGAGCUAUUUCUCCAGCCCCUUCCACCAUCGGUUCUCUUGGCAGAGAAAACAAGAGAAAAAGGACACUAUGGAAAAAUAAAGAAAAAAUAAUGUAGCA
ensembl:antisense Taco1os translational activator of mitochondrially encoded cytochrome c oxidase I, opposite strand